rnacentral:rRNA from 1 species
GACGAAGGGGGCUAGCGUUGUCCGGAAUCAUUGGGCGUAAAGCGCGUGUAGGCGGUCCGGUAAGUCCGCUGUGAAAGUCGGGGGCUCAACCCUCGAAUGCCGGUGGAUACUGUCGGGCUAGAGUGCGGAAGAGGCGAGUGGAAUUCCUGGUGUAGCGGUGAAAUGCGCAGAUAUCAGGAGGAACACCAAUUGCGAAGGCAGCUCGCUGGGACGUAACUGACGCUGAGACGCGAAAGCGUGGGGAGCAAACAGG